GUGAGGUCUUACAAUAUCAUGGUUAUCCUAAUGAGGAACAUGAAAUCCUGACAAAUGAUGAUUACUUCCUUACUAUCAACAGAAUUCUUGGAAAGAAAGCCUCAGCUUCAAAACCUGCUGUGUUACUGAUGCCAGGAAUUCUUACAGAUUGUGGAAUAUGGAUAACUAAUGAACCCAAUAGCAGCUUAGGUUUUAUACUGGCAGAUGCUGGCUUUGACGUUUGGUUGGCAAAUAACUGAGGAAGCAGAUGGUGUAAAAGACACCAGCACUUUUCACAUAAAGAAGAAGAAUUCUGGAAUUUCAGUUUUCAUGAAAUGGCAAUGGAAGAUCUUCCAUCUAUUAUAUAUUUUAUCCUAGCUAAAACUGGACAGAAACAACUUUAUUAUGUUGGCUAUUCCCAAGGAUCCACUAUAGGU